rnacentral:rRNA from 1 species
AUCCGUUGCCAUACCACCCUGAAUGCACCCAAUCUCAUCUCAUCUCGGACACUAAGCAGGGUCAGUCCUGGUUAGUACUUGGAUGGGAGACAGAGUCCCACUAUGUAGUGUUGA